AUAAAGUAUUGAAAAUUAAUAUAUAUGUUAUAGAAUCGCAUCACGAUGCACCGCAGUGAAACGUCGGUGUAUAUUGAUGUACGGCAAAAAAUAUCACCGUGAGAAAAUUCGAUCAUCAUCUUCGACUGCGCUUUGUAAAAUAAAACUGUCUGCAGGAUCGCGUAUGUUUAUUCAUUGACUAGCGAGCUCCUCUUUUUCUGCGCAGGUUAACAACAACCGAGAACAACGAUUUUUCUUUCAGGAAAUAAUCGACGCGAUAUUGUAAGAAUACCACGUCAAAAUAUUUCAGAUAUUUAUAAACAUUUCUUCAUCGUUCAUUCACUCCGUCUACACUUGCAGUAUACGAUUCGCUUCUAAAACGCGUCCCAUGAAUAAUGCAGUGAUUUCAAAUCCCUGUGGAAUGACGAAGUAGGUGUACGGUAUGAAAAAAGCGGCACGUUUUGUCCGUACAAAUCACGGUCAAAUUGAAAAAAUGUAUAACAAUCAGUUUCAGAUGUCGUAUUUUUUUCACGUUGUCAAAUUUAUCUUUCUGGUUGGUCGCGUUUAAUUUGACACUUUUUCUUCGCAUGGUUCUUGGCGUGUCUCUGAUUAAAGGAAAGAUCCAAGGACACCGAUCUAUAAUAUUUCUAAUUGCAAGUUACAAGAUCAUGAAUCAGUUGCCAACUAACCAAGUAAAUGAACGUUGUGCACCGAAGCAGAGAAAAAGUAAAGAGAAGAAGAAGUGGAAAAAAAGGAAGUGACAAAACCCUGACAUAAUUAAAUAAUUUAUGUAAUACCACAAGCAAACGUACCUGUUCGUCCCAAAAUCAUAUAUAUUUAGCAUCCGAAAUCGAUCUACUUUUUUUAUCACGAAAACUGCAAGCGCGAAAACUACAUAGAAUUUUGGAGAAAUGGAAGAAAGGUAAAAAAAUAUUUGUAUCAAAAAAAGCUCAACACUGUGCAGGUGCGAAGACAGACUUCGCCUCUUUGACCCUUGGUGAAACUGGAUUCAGGUAGUAAACCUGAAAACGAGUCUUAUACCGUGACCAUGAAACGUUCGUUCAAGGUGCAGUAUAUAGAUAUGGCUACCGGUCUACGUGACUGAUACCUGCACCGGCCAUGACCGUGAAAUUUGACGACGAAUAUCUCGGAACCGCAUCGGUCGACGAAGAAAUUAUUGCCGGUCGAAAUUGUGCGACUGCGUUCGAAAAACCAUCGGUCGAACGAAGCGAUUCUAUACAAUUUCUGUAAUUGACAAAUUUCAAUAAAUUUUUUUCAUCGCAUACCUAAAUCCGUAAAAAUCACCAAAACUGUUUUUCAUGCGAUCGAUCGAUAGAUCGUCAUGAGAAACAAAAAUAAAGUCAAAACAAAAAUUUUGCGACUACACAGCAGGCCUCUGAUCGUCUUGCUAUUCUUCGAUCGACGCUUUUAAAAUUUUGUCGAUAAAAUAAUAAUCCGUUCAUUAAAUUUACAUUGCAAAAUAAAUUAUUAUUUUUUCCCCCGGUACAUAAAACUGACGUACCGCAAGCUUGGACGUAUACGAUAACGUCCCAUCUAACAGGACAAGGUAUCUAAGUACCGACGUUUCCGUAAACACAUCUCAAUGUUGCUUCGCGCCCCUGAUGUGGUCUGCAUAUAAUUGCGUCGACGACGACGUUGGCACGUUGACACUUUGGCAUCGUUGAUUACGUGACUCGACGCACACGACACCUGAUACGCAUGAUAUACAUAUACAUAGGUAUAAAGAUAAUGUACGCAUUUUCACGGGGGUUGAUGUCACGUCGCCGCUGUCGGUGCUGUCGCUGCAACGUUGGGAUUGCCGGCGCUACAGAGUCAACAACCGAAAUACGAAAUGAUGUAACUCACCAUUUCUACUGACUAUCGAGAACUGAGAACCAGAAGGGUGUAGGCAAAAAAAUUUCGGUUUCGGUCCUGUGUGAAAAUGAGCCAGGCUUAGCGCCAGAUGGGAUCUAUUGAAAGGACGCAUCCCAAAAAAAAUGAGAUCAAUCUCAAUGAAGAUAAAAGUUUAUCGACUCCGAUCGUACCUCUGUGACAAUAAUGAAAACAUUUCAUUCCGGAUGUGUUUUGUUGAAUUUUUAUUUGAUCUUGUUUUUUCUAUUGCCUGACUGUGAAAUUGUUAGCCUGGAACACGCGUUCCAUUGCGCGUGGUACUUUGCAUUGUUCCUUGAAUAUAAUGUGUAAUUUAGAGAAAAGCGCACGUGCAGUUUCAGAAAAGUAUUAUCAUUAGUCUUUUUUCAUUAUAGGAACGCGUCACGCGAUGAUCAUCUCUUUUCCCUUUCAUUCGUAACAUCAUCAUCAUUGUUAUAAAAUUUCUAUACCGUUAUUCGAUUCGUUGAUCGUCUACCAAAAAGAUACAAAAAUUUUCAACUCCAAGAAAAAAUAUUUAAACAAAAUUUCGUACUAAUUAUUAUUUUUUUUUUUUGUUUUCGUCAUCUCUAUAACAUAAGUUUACUUGAGUCACGCUAUUUAUAGCGGUGAUUAUACAGCGAAUGUAUUUAAUUCUUUGACUUAGAAUAUAUUGAAAAUUACGUGAUAGUAUAUAAUAAUCGGACUACACGUAACCGAAACCAUAUUACAGACCUUAGAGACCACGAAAAAGAAAUGAAUGAAUAAAACAAGAGCAUUGGCACAACUGCAAUAAAUUACGACGCGAUUAUGCGGUAGAUAUAGGCGAAUUACAUGCGCCCUUUUGUUACGGACAUUAAACGAUGCAGAUAGCUAGACGGCCAAUUUAAUCUUAACACGCGAGCUACGUGUCGGUGAGACGACCGCGGCGGGCAAACUCAACGACUCGGAGCUUCGACACUAUGUAGCCCUGACCUACAUUCGCAGAUUUGUCUGUGCAGCUUCGAUUUCGAUUUUUUUCUCUCAAUUGCUCACGAUCGAUCAGAUAUAUUGGUUUUAUUCUCAUAUCUGAGUUACUCGCGUACGUAAAUCAGAUGCUUUGCGGUGCAUAUUUUGAAAAUAUAUACCUAUACGUACAUACGUAGGUGUAUAUUCAAUACAUGAUUCGAUACCAGUUUGACUUUUUUUUUUGUGAAAAAGGACCAGAUACUCGUUCUCCUUUAAAAAAAAAAAAAGGUCAGAGAAUGUUGUAUAUUGUAUUGAACCGGGGAAAAAAGGAAUUCUUUUUUUAAAAACCCGGUGUUCGCACAUACAAUAAAACUCAAAUCGAAAUUGGAUACUGAAUAUACAUUUAAAUCGAUAUUUGAAAAUUUCUGUAAAUGUGGCAACGUUUGUUCAUUAUUACGGUGUGGAAAAAAAAAACGAAAGAACUUUUACAAAAUGCCGUUCACAGCGUAAUCUGUGUAAUUAUACGCCCGCCGUCAACUAGAUAUAUGUACUUAUACAUGCUGCGGUGUGUGAUUCUAGUCACGUAUGUAAGAGGAGUAGGAGAAGAGCUGCGUCGUUGGUAUAUUAUUGUCGACGAGAAUUAGUUGAUUUUUUUUCUCUCGUUUUCUCAUCUCCUAACAUUAUUUUUGUUUUUAACGCAUUUUUAAACGCAGAUUCAGGCCAUCGCCUGUUUGUUAAAUUUAAAGCGCACGUACGUGGGCCCUGCGAUAAGGGUUAAUUUCGAAAUUUCCAUCAUGUACUCGAAUACGUUGAUUUUGUUCGUCUCUAUCCCCCUGCAGGAUGAGCCUUGUCGUCCCGAUCGUUUCACGUUCACAAACGCAAAUUUCAACGUGUAUCGCAUGUAGUGAAAUGUAACAAAUUCAUAUGUAUUAUACCUGCAGCGGUAUGGCAUAUCCAUAAACCGAAACUUAAAUAUACGAAGCCUGCCGCCGCUGCACCGGCUGCUAUUAUAUCGGGUCCCUAACAGGUUUUCGAAGGUUCCAUCCUCCUCCUGCCCCUGCAUGAUGAUGUGCAGGUAAUUCUUGGCUAUAACGACUCGCGCGUAACGGAGAAGGAUCGAGCUGGAGUCGGAGAUCGAGGAUCGGGGCAGAAGAAGUUUACAUAGGUGUAUACAUAUACCUGUGUACAUUAUAUAAAAAACGAAGACUACCAGGUUGAACACCCGGUUGCACUCCACGACGUCUCUUGAAAUUUUUUUCUUUUUCAUUUCUUCGCAGACCACGUAACGGGGGGGUGUGGCACGAUUACGAAUCGGGGUACCCGGCGCAUCGGCAUUACGGUUGAGCUCUACGUGUCAUGUACGGUGUGUACGGUUUAUAACCAGGGGAUAAGAAACAGGAUUAAAUGCCAGAAAAUCAUUGAUAAACAAAUUCCCGAUCCAACUGCGAAGCGUAUCACGCCACUUUCCCAACGUUUAUUUUAGCACUCUGCAAUACUACGGUAGUCUGCUACUGCUGUGUAGAAGGAGGCGUCGUCUCUGACGCCGAUCAUCACGGCCGCUCUAUGUGUAUGGAACUAAAAAACACGUUGUUGAGAAAAUUCUCAAGCUGAAAUUAUUUCUCUAUCCCUGCGUAUUUUAUUUAUUUAUUUUCUCUCUCUCUCUCUUCGACGUCGUCUCUGGAAUUGUGUGACUCAAGUACGUGCGACAUGGGAUGUGAAAUUCCCCUACAAAUUUUGGAUCUUUUUACUCGACGAUUGGUGUAGAGAAAAAAACGAGAGUCAUCGAAUUUUUUAAAGAUCGCACGAGUUGACGUUUCACGAACGACUCCGAGUCACGUAGGAUAAAUUAUUUCAAUUCAUUGGGACGACCUUUGCUUGCAUUAAACGUUGGCAAGUGUAGCUUAUAUAUGUGUACUUUCUGUGCGAUCGGCCGAUGUUUGCAUAUGUUCAUGCAUGCAUGCACUUAUAUGCACCAGCAACAUACCCAAAUAGCACAGUCGGCCACUAAAAGAGAUAAUAAUAAUCCAUCUGCACCAAUACUCUUUCAUUGUUUAUUAUCGUUCCUAAGAUUAUCCCAUAUACCUCCUGCGUAACAUUCCCUUAUACGUUUUAGACCUCGUAGUUUUUAUUCUGCGUUAUAACGCGGGAUAAAAAUUGUAUUGACGAAAAUUUUUCACAUUUCGAUCUCGUGGUGAGUAUAAAAGUAUCGGCUGUAAAUGACAUGAUGCUUAACAUCGAUGAUAUCAGCAAAAUCACGUGUCAAAAUUAGAACGGGGUUGUUGCCAAUUUAUUCGUAAUAUCAUUUAGUGCGUAUCGAUAUUACAAUGAAUCUUAUUUCGUUUCGUAAUAAAUACUUUUAGAAUGAUGCGAAAAUUUAAUAAUUCUAUACGAUGUGAAAUUUUUCGGAUGCGUAUUUUAUUUUCUCCCCUUUUUCUACGAUGUAUUGUUCGGGAGUGCAGCUGCGAUUAUUAUUGCGAGGGGAGUUUGACUAUUUUUAAAACCUUUUAAUAAUUGCAGCUUUGUUUCAUAGGUUUUAGAGCGACGGUAUUGGUUUCGUACAAUACAGCGAAUAAUAUUACGGUCCACAAUACCGAGUGGUACAGGGUUUUGGAAGGCAAGAAGCUCGAAGCUUGAAUAUGCUAUAGAAGUUGGCAAUGCGCAGUAGAUUUCACGUUUCCUGUGGUAUAUAAAACCGGACUGGGUUUACAGCCGGACAAACUAUUGUCCAAAACUGACGCAAGUUGAAACGCUUUAAAACGGUUGCCAUGCAAGACUAUUCUUAUCUGAACCGUAGGUGGUACACUCAGGUUGUCAUUCGGUAUAUCUCUCUCUUUAUUAUUAUAUUCCUUUUGACAAUAAUUGAAUACGAACGCCAAGUGCUCUCACGUGUUUCUUUAAAGCACAUCAGCUGUUUAUGAUUAAUGAAUAAGAAAUCCAAACGAUGUUCCCUUCAAUUGGCAAUAAUAUCCCCUUUUCAAAUUUUCCAGACUCAUCGUCAUAUCUCUGCACGAAUUUACGUCACGUUGAUUUGUCUCAUUUCAUUCAACAUUCAAAAAUUCACCUGUAUUAUGUCUGUGUAUUGUUAUAAACCGAACUCGAGUUCGAUGUACUCAUCGUUUGUCUUCUCAUCCAUUUUCCCAUCUUAUAGUUAUUAAAUAUGUCGCAAUUGUUGCUACUACCAAAUUUUUCCAAAGUUUGUUCAACGGUGACAUUAAAAAUUUUACGACACAACGUUUCAUGACACCCACACGUGUUGUCGCUUUUUUUUUUUUGGGGGAAAAAACAUUUACUUAAUUUUAGAACGUUUUAUAGAAGACAUGUUCUCCAACGACCUACGAUCUCAAAAUGUUUAUAGAGAUAGGGACCUAUUAAAUGCUCUACAAAUAGCCAUACAAAACGUUCUAGAAAAUAUGUUGAGUUAGGGGUUAUCUGAUUAAAUAACAUUUUGUGAUAAAAUUUCUACGUAAACAUUUGUAUCUCAACACCACUUUUAGGCAUAUAUACGUAUAGUUUAAUAAUGUUGAGAUAACAAGACAACAAGAGGUUGUGCCGUUUGAUCCGAUGCCAGAGUCAAAGUAUUGUACAGAAGUAGUGAAUAGCUAAAUAGCAGCAGAUGAUAUCUCCUCGUUUCAUUUUUCUCGCGGUAAAUAAAUAGGCGUUAUUACUAACGGGCUAUAUUUGUAACGCCACGCGAUUACCUAUGGCGCCGGCUGUUACUUUCACUUGCUAUUUUAGCGGAUAAAGGAGGGUUAUUUCGUUUGGAGAUCAAGGGAUGAUUUUGUUUAAGAUUAACCGAACGCCGCGAUAUUGGGCGCUCGAUAAAUGACAUUUCCAAAUCAAGGAAAUAUACGCGAAUAAAUAUUCACCCGGUGAAUUAGCGAGGCUUUGAGAAGGCAAUAUUAUCAAAAUGGCCGCCAAGACACGCGUACUAACACGAUUAGAUAGUUUUGACAUAAAACGGAAACUUGGCACGGUCAUCAAGGGCGAUUAAUCCAACCCUGAGCGAUCACCUUUACUCUGAUUACAAAAUUUGAAAAAACUUAUGCCUAUUUACCCGAAAAAAUAAUUUUUUUAGGACUCAC